rnacentral:rRNA from 1 species
UACGGAGGGUGCAAACGUUGCUCGGAAUCAUUGGGCGUAAAGCGCACGUAGGCGGCUCGUUAAGUCGGCUGUGAAAGCCCCGGGCUCAACUCGGGAAGUGCAUUCGAAACUGGCGAGCUUGAAUAUGGAAGAGGGUCGCGGAAUUCCCGGUGUAGAGGUGAAAUUCGUAGAUAUCGGGAGGAACACCAGUGGCGAAGGCGGCGACCUGGGCCAAUAUUGACGCUGAGGUGCGAAAGCGUGGGGAGCAAACAGG